CUGUACAGUUCAGAGUUUGAUCCUGGCUCAGGACGAACGCUGGCGGCGUGCUUAACACAUGCAAGUCGAACGAUGAAGCCCAGCUUGCUGGGUGGAUUAGUGGCGAACGGGUGAGUAACACGUGAGUAACCUGCCCUUCACUUCAGGAUAACUCCGGGAAACCGGUGCUAAUACUGGAUAUGAUCACUUCCCGCAUGGGAUGGUGGUGGAAAGCUUUUCGGUGGGGGAUGGACUCGCGGCCUAUCAGCUUGUUGGUGGGGUAAUGGCCUACCAAGGCGACGACGGGUAGCCGGCCUGAGAGGGCGACCGGCCACACUGGGACUGAGACACGGCCCAG
rnacentral:rRNA from 1 species